UAUAAAAUAAAUCUUAAAUGCGAAGGCUGAGCUUGUUUUUUAUUAAUUAAAUUAUCUCAUGGAUCUGUUUUAGUACAAUAGAUCACAUCCACACAGUAAAGCAGAUUACACAGAAUACCGAAGAGUAUAAUCAGCCUCUGUGUCUAGCCUUUGUGGACUAU